AACGAACGCUGGCGGCAGGCUUAACACAUGCAAGUCGAGCGCCCCGCAAGGGGAGCGGCAGACGGGUGAGUAACGCGUGGGAAUCUACCCAACCCUACGGAAUAACGCAUGGAAACGUGUGCUAAUACCGUAUACGCCCUGCGGGGGAAAGAUUUAUCGGGGAUGGAUGAGCCCGCGUUGGAUUAGCUAGUUGGUGGGGUAAAGGCCUACCAAGGCGACGAUCCAUAGCUGGUCUGAGAGGAUGAUCAGCCACAUUGGGACUGAGACACGGCCCAAACUCCUACGGGAGGCAGCAGUGGGGAAUAUUGGACAAUGGGCGCAAGCCUGAUCCAGCCAUGCCGCGUGAGUGAUGAAGGCCCUAGGGUUGUAAAGCUCUUUCACCGAUGAAGAUAAUGACGGUAGUCGGAGAAGAAGCCCCGGCUAACUUCGUGCCAGCAGCCGCAGUAA
rnacentral:rRNA from 1 species